rnacentral:piRNA from 1 species
UGGAUACUGUCUGGUAGCAUAGCCC